AUACGGAUGGUGCGAGCGUUGUUCGGAAUUACUGGGCGUAAAGGGCGCGUAGGCGGCGAUGUAAGUCAAAUGUGAAAGUCCUCGGCUUAACCGGGGAAGUGCAUCUGAAACUGCAUUGCUUGAGUAUGGGAGAGAAAAGUGGAAUUCCCGGUGUAGAGGUGAAAUUCGUAGAGAUCGGGAGGAAUACCGGUGGCGAAGGCGACUUUCUGGACCAAUACCGACGCUGAGGCGCGAAAGCGUGGGGAGCAAACAGGAUUAGAUACCCUAGUAGUCC
rnacentral:rRNA from 1 species